UACGAGGAGGGCAAAUGUUGUUCGGAAUCACUGGGCGUAAAGGGAGCGUAGGCGGGUGUUUAAGUUAGGUGUUUAAUCCCAGGGCCCAACCCUGGUCGUGCACUUAAAACUGGACAUCUUGAAUAGGGGAGAGGUCAGUGGAAUUGGGGGUGUAGCGGUGGAAUGCGUAGAGAUCCCCAAGAACACCAGUUGCGAAGGCGGCUGACUGGACCCAUAUUGACGCUGAGGCUCGAAAGCAUGGGGAGCAAACAGG
rnacentral:rRNA from 1 species